AUACUUACUUGGGAGGGGAGACAUGAUGUCAUGAAGGUAGUUUUCCCAAAGUGAAAUUUACCCAUUGUACUCCGGAUGUGCUGACCCCUGAGGUCUGCACAAAUGUGAGAAUCUUAACUGCAAAAUCUUUGGCAGCAGCAGGAGGCCUGCAUUUUCACUCUCCCU
ensembl:snRNA U1 U1 spliceosomal RNA